rnacentral:lncRNA from 1 species
CUUGUUCUCAUAUGACCGGCUCUGCUUAGCUCCGUCGAUGGAAAUCGCCUACGGCGGCGGAGAACCACCAAAUUCCACCAAAAUAACACCCCGGAUUCCUCUCAUCCUCCUCUAUCCAAAUUCAUGGUUUGUUUCUCUCAAAUGUAAGCCGUGCUCUUCGAAACUCCGAUCUAAACUUUCCGGCCAAAAUCCAAAACGGUCCAAACCUGACCAAAUGCAUACCACAAUGUCCCCAGACUUCCCUCAUUCCUAAUAUUUGAUGAAAACCUCUCGAGUCCUGGCAUAAAUGAAGGUAUUGAAAAUCUAGGGUUCAGGCCGUUUCAACUUGUUUUGGGGAGGUUUUCUUGGUCGAGUGCUUCGUUCAGUAGGUUUUCUUUAGUAUUCUAAGUUAAUUUCUGUUAUUAUAGUUCAAUGCUUUCUUCUCAUUCUUCUCCGUUCAAUUAGGCAAUUUCUGGCUGUUCAUAGCUAAGUUUGAUUUCAUGCUUUGUUGGUUGUUUAUUUUAGUAGGAUAGUUCAAUGUCGCUUUCAAUUCAUUUGCUCGUCUUUCUAAUCAAUAAAUCCUGCCUAGUGUUAAUUUGCUUUUAAUUCAUGCUUUGUUUUUUUAGUUAACCAUAGCCUUAGUUUUAGAAUCGUCAUGAUUAAUUGGUUUGGGUCGUUAAUUUUUUAUCCGUAUUUGUUAGUUAUAAGCUUAGGCUAAUUUCUUCCUCUGUGUUGAUUUUGAUUUCUUAAUUGAUAUUGGGUCAUUGGUCAAGUAGACUGUUCUUGGUUAUGUUCAUAUGAAAAUUGGAUUUGGAAGUUUGUUUGGGACUGAUUUCAGUAGUAUUAGCUGCUUCUUCAAUUUCUGUGUUAUUGGAGAUAAUGUUAAGAUCGUUUUUUGGGUAUAGCUGAUUAGUUCACUUACUAUUAACCUUACUUUUUUAAAAGGGGGUAAGGUUUGGGUGAGGUUAGUUACAGUGAGUAAUUUCAGGGGUUCACAAGGGCUUUUUAGAGAUAGAAAAGGGUAGAAUCUAUAGGAAUUGUAAUUUUAAAACAAGGGAAGGGUAGUAUAGGAAUUGUCUUGCCAAAAGGGUAUCCUAGAGGCUUCAAGAAUAGGACUUUAGUGUAGAUUUUAAUAGACUUAGGGCACUAACUUGAGUAGCAAGUCAGAAAAUAAGGGGGUUAAAUAUGAAAAUAAGCAGGGGUUGUUGAGGAAAACUAAAAUCUAAGGCCUGCCCUUAUUUUUCCCUAUAUAAGGGCACUAAGUGCCUUGAGGAAGAGGUCUUCAACUUUCAGCCCAGAAAUCCAAAGAAAAAGCUUUCCUCUUUUCUUAAAAUUUUAAAUUAACUAGUAGAUUCAAACAUUCAAAAAUACAAAAACAUCAGAAAAGGAAAAACCAAAAAAAUAUUUUUCGUUAUUUCAUUGAUUAUUCAGUGAUUUUCAAUUUUUUAGUACUCUUCAAUUCUGGUCAAGAUUUUGGUUCUAGGAUGUAUAGAAUUUGCUUGAUAGCUUGUUCAAGGGAGUUUUCGGUUUAUCUGGUUUGAAUUCCAGUGUGUGUAUGCUUUCAGUAGGUUUUCAGAAGUACUGAGGCUCAGUUUUGGGAGCUAUUUUGCAUUUUGAAUGUGUAGUGGAUUGAUCUAUUGGGAUCUGGUUGCUCUAUGAGUAUUGCUGGGUUUUAAAAUCACUUCCUGAUUGCUCUUUUAGUUUGGUACUACUGGUUGUGUUCCCGCUAUUGGCUUCCAUCUUUAUUUGAGCUUACUUCUGCUGCUUCUCACCGUUAGCUCCUAGCUAACUUUUGUUAGUUUUGUUGUUGUAACCAGGUACAUAUUUUGAAUCUUGCAAUAUGAAAUCAAGUUUGAAGAUGGAAUGAAGCAAAUUUUAUCUUAAUCUUAUUUGUUUCCCUGUGUUAAAAAUGGUCUUGCUCUCACAUUUGUUUCAUUUAAAUUAGUGAUAUGGUGAUUUGUCCUCUAGAAUAGUUAAGAAUCAGGCUAUAACUGAUCAUGGAUUCUUGAAUUUGAUUUGUUUAGAUUUUGUGGCUAUGGUUUAGUAUUGAUGGUGCAAGUUAGCUGUAUAACCCUUUGUUAGGGAUGUGGAAGUAUCUGAAGAAUUCUUAUGUUAUGUCUGUUGAAAGUGAAG